CUCAUCCCCAGGAGACAGCCAAUCUCAUCUGGUUCAGCAGGGGUUCCGAAGAAACAGACGGAGAGAGCUUUUAGGGUUUGUUCAUCGCCGUCUCACCAUGAGAGCCAAGUGGAAGAAGAAGCGCAUGAGGAGGUUGAAGAGGAAGCGCAGAAAGAUGAGGCAGAGAUCUAAGUGAGAGCUGUAGCUGUAGCGGUAGCGGUUUCGUCGCCUCGGCAAGAGCUCUUUCGCUUGGCGUGUUUGGGUCUUAUCGGUUUCUGGUCUUUGUUUUUUUUUUGUUUCCGUGUUUUUUAGGAUUAAUAUGUGGAAAAUCUAGAGCUGUUCAAGCCUGGUGUUUGUCACGUUCGCUAGUCGUUAAAAGUUGAAUUCUACUUUGUUAAGAACUCAUUUUUGCUGAUGAAUCUAUUAGAUUUUGCUUUUGCUGAUACAUUCAAUUAAGUUUUAUAUGUUAUAUUUUGGUUAAUUUUUCUGCCGUU